rnacentral:sRNA from 31 species
GUGAACUACCGCUGAGCUGAAGACUCAGCAGCUUCUUCGGAAGCUUGAGUCUUCAGUCUGGUCGCUUCGUGAGAAGCUUGAGUUCACCAGACUCAGCCCCAGAAAUGGGAGCUCCGUUCGAGAGGUCAAAACACCUGCGGUUGACGCAUCAGACCGCUGCUCUGUU